AACGAACGCUGGCGGCAGGCUUAACACAUGCAAGUCGAGCGCCCCGCAAGGGGAGCGGCAGACGGGUGGGUACCGCGUGGGAACGUACCCUUAUCUUCGGGAUAGCUCCUGGAAACUGGAAUUAAUACCGAAUGUGCCCUUUGGGGUAAAGAUUUAUCGGAUAAGGAUCGGCCCGCGUUGGAUUAGCUAGUUGGUGGGGUAAAGGCCUACCAAGGGGACGAUACAUAGCUGGUCUGAGAGGAUGGGCAGCCACAUUGGGACUGAGACACGGCCCAAACUCUUGCGGGAAGGAGGAGUGGGGAAUAUAGGAAAAUGGGGGGAAGGAAGAAGGAGCCAUGACGGGUGAGUGAUGAAGGCCGUAGGGAUGGAAAGCAAGUUAACAGGAGAAGAUAAUGACGGUACCAGGAGAAGAAGCACCGGCUAACUUCGUG
rnacentral:rRNA from 1 species